UACGUAGGGGGCUAGCGUUGUCCGGAAUCAUUGGGCGUAAAGCGCGCGUAGGUGGCUUCGUAAGUCCGUUGUGAAAGUCAAAGGCUCAACCUUUGAAAGCCGAUGGAUACUGUGAAGCUAGAGUACGGAAGAGGCGAGUGGAAUUCCUGGUGUAGCGGUGGAAUGCGCAGAUAUCAGGAGGAACACCAAUAGCGAAGGCAGCUCGCUGGGACGUUACUGACACUGAGGCGCGAAAGCCAGGGGAGCAAACGGG
rnacentral:rRNA from 1 species